rnacentral:rRNA from 1 species
GAUGAACGUUGGCGGCGUGCCUAAUACAUGCAAGUCGAACGAAGACUGUAGUAAUACUGUCUUAGUGGCGAACGGGUGAGUAACGCGUGGGUGACCUGCCCCGAAGUGUGGGAUAACAGUCCGAAAGGAUUGCUAAUACUGCAUAAUAUCCAAGAGAUUAGAUGCUUUUGGAUUAAAGGAGUAAUUCGCUUCGGGAGGGGCCCGCGUCCCAUCAGCUAGUUGGUAAGGUAAUGGCUUACCAAGGCGAUGACGGGUAGGGGACCUGAGAGGGUGGCCCCCCACAAUGGAACUGAAACACGGUCCAUACACCUACGGGUGGCAGCAGUAGGGAAUAUUAGUAAUGGGCGAAAGCCUGAACUAGCAACGCCGCGUGUGCGAAGAAGGCCUUCGGGUCGUAAAGCACUUUUGUAGAGGAUGAGGAAGGACGGUACUCUCAGAAUAAGUCUCGGCUAACUACGUG